AACUCCUUCUGGCAUGAUGAAAGGUAACUGUUUCUAGUUCGAUUUCUGGGGUAUUUAUCUGUUAAUAUAAGUAAUUUAUCACUUCUUUUACUGCUGAAUAUGUUAAAUGAGAUCAUUAAUUGAAGAAAUUUUUUAUAAGACCUGGUAGAUAACAGUGAACUUGGACAGUUGUUCUUUUGCAAAUUCUAUGCCACUAUACUGAAUACUUAAGAUGCUUCUUCUGUGUGAUGGCAGAACUAGAUAAGGUAGCAUUUGAAGGAUGGUAUCUUUGUUUUUUUUCAUUUUCUUUCAGCCUUGUAAUAAUUUGAAUAUGACUUGAGAUCAUGAACCAUGAUAUUACAUAUUUCGAAAAUAGUGAAAAGAUGAUUGUUUAUAGUUGUUAGUGAUUGUAACUUCUCAUGAUAUUUGUGUGACGGAAAAUUAACAUUCACAUUCUUCGUUUUGGUAAGCUUUUUAUGCUGUAUGUUUUAACAGUAAUGCUGCAUUUAGAUCUCUACAACAUGAGAUUCUUAAAAAGCCUGAGCGUGACCCUAAACAUAUUAUGUUUAUUGGUAAGUUUGGAAACAUGAAAGUGUUAACGUAGAACCUGUCUCAUAUGAAAACAAAUUCUAGCAAAAAUUAUUUCCAGCACCAUGAUCAUCUAGUGGUGAUUGUUAAAUUGUAUUGUAGUCUGGGGGUCGUGUAUCUUCUUGGGACCUGGAUUUGUAACCAACCUGAUAUUCUUCUUGUGAAACUUUUUUUCCCAUUCAAUGUCAUUGAUGUUUGAGGUUUUUUCUGUGUGGUUUCUUAGAACUUGGAAAGUUUUUACUGAUAAUCCUUAAUUCCUUGUACAAUUCAAAGCAGUUUGCCACUGUAGCUUCUCAAUGCUCCAAAUAUGACACAGCUUUCAGUACAAUGCCAUUUUUCAUUCACAUCCCUUUGGCAAGAUUUGAGUAGAUCCAUCUUUGAAUUUGCUUUAUCAAAUAUUUUGUUUGUCAUUGAACCCGGUUUAUGAUUUUGACAUAACAUUCUAUAGCAUAAUGGAAUUGAAGCAUAUUUUCUUUUGCAUGCAGUGGCUUCCAUGGCAUUUAUGAUGUUGAGUAUUUUAUCCAGUCACUGAGAUUUGAUGUACGUAUUGUGGAAAGGAUACCAGAAAUUCAUAAAAAUGGGAAAACCAAGAAGAUAAAGGCUUUU
rnacentral:misc_RNA from 1 species